GACGAACGCUGGCGGCGUGCUUAACACAUGCAAGUCGAACGGAAAGGCCCUGCUUUUGUGGGGUGCUCGAGUGGCGAACGGGUGAGUAACACGUGAGUAACCUGCCCUUGACUUUGGGAUAACUUCAGGAAACUGGGGCUAAUACCGGAUAGGAGCUCCUGCUGCAUGGUGGGGGUUGGAAAGUUUCGGCGGUUGGGGAUGGACUCGCGGCUUAUCAGCUUGUUGGUGGGGUAGUGGCUUACCAAGGCUUUGACGGGUAGCCGGCCUGAGAGGGUGACCGGCCACAUUGGGACUGAGAUACGGCCCGGACUCCUACGGGAGGCAGCGGUGGGGACUAUUGCACAAUGGGCGGAGGCCUGAUGCAGCACCGCCGCGUGGGGGAUGACGGCCUUCGGGUUGUAAACCGCUUUCGCCUGUGACGAGGCGUGAGUGACGGUAAUGGGUAAAGAAGCACCGGCUACCUACGU
rnacentral:rRNA from 1 species